GCCGAUGUAGCUCAGUUGGCCAGAGCGGUUGAUUUGUAAUCCACAGGUCGGGGGUUCGAAUCCCUUCAUCGGCU
rnacentral:tRNA from 1 species